rnacentral:rRNA from 1 species
CUAACAAGGAUUCCCUUAGUAACUGCGAGUGAAGCGGGAAUAGCUCAAAUUUAAAAUCUGGCGGUCUUUGGCUGUCCGAAUUGUAGCCUAGAGAAGUGUUGCCCGUGCUGGACCAUGUAUAAGUCUCCUGGAACGGAGCGUCACAGAGGGUGAGAAUCCCGUCUUUGACAUGGACUACCAGUGCAUUGUGGUAUGCUCUCAAAGAGUUGAGUUGUUUGGGAAUGCAGCUCUAAAUGGGUGGUAAAUUCCAUCUAAAGCUAAAUAUUGGCGAGAGACCGAUAGCGAACAAGUACCGUGAGGGAAAGAUGAAAAGAACUUUGGAAAGAGAGUUAAACAGUAUGUGAAAUUGUUGAAAGGGAAACGUUUGAAGUCAGUCGCGUUGGUCAGGGAUCAACUCAGCUAUUCUGCUGGGUGCACUUCUUGGCACAACGGGCCAACAUCAGUCUUGACUUGCUGGAGAAAGGCCGAGGGAAUGUGGCACCUUUGGGUGUGUUAUAGCCCUCAGUCAUAUGCAGUGGUUGGGGCUGAGGAAAGCAGCGUGCCGCAAGGCCGGGUCGUUUCGACUACGUUCACGCUUAGGAUGUUGGCAAAUAAUGGCUUUAAGCGACCCGUCUUGAAACACGGACCAAGGAGUCUAACAUGCCUGCGAGUGUUUGGGUGGAAAACCCGAGCGCGCAAUGAAAGUGAAARUUGAGAUCCCUCCU